UACGUAGGGUGCGAGCGUUAAUCGGAAUUACUGGGCGUAAAGCGUGCGCAGGCGGCGCGUUAAGACAGGUGUGAAAGCCCCCGAGCUUAACUUGGGAAUUGCGCUUGUGACUGGCGAGCUGGAGUGUGGCAGAGGGAGGUGGAAUUCCACGUGUAGCAGUGAAAUGCGUAGAGAUGAUGGAGGAACACCGAUGGCGAAGGCAGCCUCCUGGGCCAGCACUGACGCUCAUGCACGAAAGCG
rnacentral:rRNA from 1 species